UUACCUCCGAAAUAGUUCCACUGACGUGUACUCUAUAUGGUCAAGCUACUUCUUCUUCUUCAUCACGAACCAUCUUGUCGUAUAAUAACUUGUAUAUCUGAAAUAAAUAAAAGGGAUUGGGGUGAGACAAGAUGUCUCAGUGAGUUCCACCUAUCCUAGGCUAUAGGCAACCUCGGGGAACCUAGGAUCGCCAUCUGUUACUAAACUCAACCCAUUUUGGAUUUAUACAAUUUUACUAUGCAAAACUGAGCGCGAUAAUGGGAUAACUAGAAUCUAUGUCUGAAAUACUACAUUGAUUAAAUAAUAAAUACAGUCAUACUCAUAACUUUAAUCAUAAACAUAAUCACCAUAAUCAUAAUAAUAAUCAUAAACAUAAAUCCAAUAUAUCGUAUUCUAGUAUAGCUUAUACUUUGACAUACUUAUUUGAGUAUGUCUCUGAUUCUUUUUUUUUUUUUAUAACAACUAGUUUCGGCUAACUGAGUCGGAGUUCCGUAACUAAAAUUCAUCAUUUCCAAUGAUUGGCAAAAUGCCCAUAAGAUAUUGCUUCGUAGCUAAUUCAUACUAAACAUAAUUUUCAUGUUAAUAUGAGUAUCAUUAGUUAUACAUUUCAUUAUAUGCGUACAUAUCAUAUUAUCUCUUCGUUAUGGCGAACGGUAACUAUUUCAUUAUUGUUACUAUGAGCCGUACCUCAUAGGCUACAUUAUCUCUUCGUUGUAGCAAACGGAGUUUCACAUUCGUUACUAUGAGUCGUUCCUCAUAGGCUACAUUAUCUCUUCGUUGUAGCAAAC
rnacentral:lncRNA from 1 species